AACAGAUAAGUUCUGCAGUUGAAAAGGCGAUUUGUAAGAAACUAGGAAAAGGAAUCUUGAAGGUUGAUUCCAUCUUGCAAGCAUUUCCCAAGGAAGUCCAAGUGGAUGAUAAUACUUCUUUUGAUAUUACUUUUGCGGAAAAACCCUUACUUAGCAACUCCUCCAUUGGUCUAAAGAUCAAUGGGCUGUUUAGGGAAAGCAAAAAGCUCCCAAUACCUG
rnacentral:misc_RNA from 1 species